rnacentral:rRNA from 1 species
AACGAACGCUGGCGGCAGGCUUAACACAUGCAAGUCGAACGGACCCUUCGGGGUUAGUGGCGGACGGGUGAGUAACACGUGGGAACGUGCCUUUAGGUUCGGAAUAGCUCCUGGAAACGGGUGGUAAUGCCGAAUGUGCCCUUCGGGGGAAAGAUUUAUCGCCUUUAGAGCGGCCCGCGUCUGAUUAGCUAGUUGGUGAGGUAAUGGCUCACCAAGGCGACGAUCAGUAGCUGGUCUGAGAGGAUGACCAGCCACAUUGGGACUGAGACACGGCCCAAACUCCUACGGGAGGCAGCAGUGGGGAAUCUUGCGCAAUGGGCGAAAGCCUGACGCAGCCAUGCCGCGUGGAUGAUGAAGGUCUUAGGAUUGUAAAAUCCUUUCACCGGUGAAGAUAAUGACUGUAGCCGGAGAAGAAGCCCCGGCUAACUUCGUGCCAGCCGCCGCCGUAACAC